UUUAUUACUCCUUCAGACGGAGGUGUUGUCUCCAGGAAGCAUCAUGGAAAGGCGUGGUGGUGCACAAGGGCCUUCAGGAUGCCUGCGCCUGGUGACGGCUGCGCCUCAGGUUCUGGGCCUGACUCGGAAGGGUGCCUGUGAGCAGAAGAGCUGGCACGCGCAGCUCAGUGGACCAUCAGUGCCAACCCGUCCUGUACCCUGGCUGAGGGGUGUGCUAAGUGGCAGAUUCCCGGUUGGCUCAUCGUAAGGCGUGGCACAAAAUCACCAUCGAAAGAAAGGGCCUUCGGGAUGCCUCUAUCUGGUUCUUUCCUUGUUUCUAGGUUAUUGCCCUGUAGUGCCAGAGAGAACCACAUAGCCUGCUGCUGCUCCUGCCUUUAAUUUCCCAAAGAGUCAUCAGACGACCUUGGAGUUUGUUCUGCAAGAGGAGCCAGUAAGGCCUCGUGACUGUGGUCACCCUCGGAAGCCUUUGACAGCUAGCUGGUGAGGGCGCUCAGUCGGAGGCCCUGGGGAGGCCCCUGCUAAGCCGAGAAAAGCAUUUCUCACAGUGGAUUUCCUGGAAGUCAGGGUUGGCCUUUGUAUUUUGAAGCACAAAUAAACUUUAUAAAAUUUAA
rnacentral:lncRNA from 1 species